GCGAGCCUCCCCGAGGCCGCGGGUCGCGGCGCUCUGAGCCGCGCGCGGCCAGGCCAUGCUGCGGGCGUGCGGGGCGGCCGUGGGCCCCCGGCUCCUGCGGGCCGCGCUGGGCCUGGGGCCCGGGCCCGGGCGGGCGGCGUCGGGGGCGCGCGGCCAGGGCUGGCUGCAGCCGGAGGGCCACGACACGGGCGUCAAGGUGUACAACAGUCUCACCCGGAGGAAGGACCCCUUGAUCGUGGGCAGCGCGGACGCCGUCUCCUGGUAUAGCUGCGGACCAACCGUCUACGAUCACGCACACCUUGGCCAUGCUUGCUCAUACGUGAGAUUUGAUAUCAUUCGAAGGAUCCUCACGAGGGUUUUCGGGUGCAACGUCGUCAUGGUGAUGGGAGUCACCGAUGUGGACGACAAGAUCAUCAGAAGAGCUUGCGAGAUGAACGUGUCACCUGGAUCUCUGGCCAUUCUUUACGAAGAGGACUUUAAACAGGACAUGGCCGCCUUGAAGGUUCUCCCCCCGACAGUGUACUUAAGAGUGACUGAAAAUAUUCCUCAGAUCAUUUCUUUCAUCGAAGGAAUAAUUGCUAACGGGCAUGCUUAUUCGACAGCACAAGGCAAUGUCUACUUCGAUCUUCCAUCCAGAGGAGACCGGUACGGCAAGCUCGUGGGCGUGGUCCCCGGUCCCAGCGCGGAGCCAGUUGACUCUGACAAGCGGCACCCCAGCGACUUUGCCCUGUGGAAGGCGGCCAAACCCCGGGAGGUGUUCUGGGCCUCUCCCUGGGGAAACGGAAGGCCUGGCUGGCACAUCGAAUGUUCCACCAUCUCCAGCCUGGUGUUUGGAAGCCGGCUGGACAUCCACUCGGGUGGGGCGGACCUGGCCUUCCCGCAUCACGAGAACGAAAUCGCCCAGUGCGAGGCCUUCCAUCAGUGCAGGCAGUGGGGAAACUAUUUCCUGCAUUCCGGGCACUUGCACGUGAAAGGCAAAGAAGAAAAAAUGUCCAAGUCGCUGAAAAACUACAUCACUAUUAAGGACUUCCUCAAGACGUUCUCCCCCGAUGUCUUCCGGCUCUUCUGCUUGCGGAGCGGCUACCGGUCAGCCGUGGACUACAGCGACGGCACCAUGCUUGAGGCCAGCCACCUCCUCCAGGCAGCAGCCGCGUUCGUCGAGGACGCCCGGGCCUACAUGAAGGGGCAGCUGGUGUGCGGCCCCGUCAGGGAGGACGUGCUGUGGGAGAGGCUCCGCCACACCAGGGAGGCGGUGAGGGCUGCGCUGGCGGACGACUUCGACACGCCCGCAGCGCUGGACGCGGUCACGGCCCUCAUCCACCGCGGGAACGCAGAGCUGCACGCGCCGCGCACUCAGGAGCCCCGCGGCCCCAGGAGUCCCGCCGUGUUUGGCUCCCUCGUGUCCUACGUCGAGCACUUCUUCGAGACCGUCGGCAUCUCUCUGCUGGACAGACAGGUCGCCUGCGGGGACGGCGGCCGGGCGGCGCUGCACAGCGUGCUGGAGGAGCUGGUCCGCUUCCGCCUCAAGGUCCGGCAGUUCGCGCUGGCCAGCGGUGCGGCCACCAGGGAGGCCCGGCGGCCCCUGCUGGAGGCGUGCGACACUCUGCGCCAGGACCUCGCCGCCCACGGCAUCAGCAUUAAGGACCGGAGCAGCACAUCCACGUGGGAGCUGCGGGGUCAGAGGACUGGAGACCGCGGCCCGGGGAGCUGAGGCCUCCGGACACGGCUCUGCGGGAGGAAAGCUUUACAUUAAAGUUCCCCAUCACGGCCGUUCAGUGAACGUGAUGGAAACACGAGAGCUCCCGCAGUCACUGCUGCGUUCCCAGGCGGUGGGCUCCUCACGCUGCAUUCAACCUAUUCGAUCCUGGUUCCCACGUGCCAGCCUUGUGGCCCGUGAGCAGCCGUGCUUGGGCUGUGCACCAGGGGCCGGUUCUGGAAGAGUCCAGCGUGAAAGCAAGACACAAGUAUGAGAGCGCCGACGGCAGCGUGGGAUGUGGCGGACGCCAUCACAGCUGAGCGCGUGGUCUCCCUGUUGUCCAUCUGUCCCUCCGUCUCCCCCGCUCUCAAGCCCCCUGCGGUCCCGUAUUGGCGAGCUGGCAUCUCCUGGGCCCGCAGGUGAGCUCGCACCAGUCACGGUGCCGGACGGCUUGGCGAGGCUCCAUGGCCACCUUUGCUUCGUCCCUGACUGCCCUGACCCCUACAGGCACCAGAGUCCCAUUCCACAGGUAAGGAAACCCGUUCGUAACUAGACUUGCCUACGGUAACCCAGCUCGUGCCUUACGAGGAUACCAGACCCCAGGGAGUCUCACGGUCCCCUGACGGCUGGACGCUGAACUUGGCCACCCGAACAUGCUUGGAGUUGACAGCUUGCUCUCGGGGAAAAGCACAAGAACAUUUUUCUGACAGCCAUUUGCUCCUUGGUUUUGAGCAAGGGGGUCUUGUACUUGUUCAGAGCAAACACCUGAAACCCGCUCCUGUGACUGCUGCAGCUGGUUCUCUGCGGAAGGAAAGGCUGAGCGCAUUUUAACGUCGGAGGACACCUGUGAAAACCUGAGAUGACAGGCCUUUAGCUGUUCAUCUCCCCGCUGUCCCGAGCGCGUCCUCACCCCGGAAAGCUGAAAGGCAGCUGCUGACUACGUAAGAAAGGAAUACAAAACCCUUUGUUGAAAUAAAUCAGAUUUGCCUUUUAA